ACCAACGUUUGAUAAGAUUCACCUAUUAGGAGAGGUCAGGACUUGGGCUGGGUUACUCACUGAAGCAGGCUUGAGCCUGGUCAGUACCUGGAUGGGAGACCACAUGAGAAAACUAGGUUGCUGUUGGAA
rnacentral:rRNA from 1 species